GCAGGUGUAGUUCAAUGGCAGAACACCAGCCUUCCAAGCUGGUCAUGAGGGUUCGAUUCCCUUCACCUGCU
rnacentral:tRNA from 1 species